UAAAAGGUCGGGAUAG
rnacentral:tRNA from 1 species